rnacentral:lncRNA from 1 species
UCAGAUAAAAGAUAAUGCCUGGACAUGCAGACUUCCCAUAAAUCCCACUGGUGUGGAGAACCCUUAAACACAGCCAGUUCAUAAGGAGAGCAACAAGGAUGACUGGAUGUUAAUUACCAGACUGAUGAAUAUAUAAUGCAGGAAUCAACAGGGACUGAAAGAAAACGCCAAACAGUAAAGCUGAAUAAAAUAAAAAUCUUGAUGAAAAUUAGAUGUGGAUUUACUCUGAUGAGCUUUC